CAAUAGCGUAUAUUUAAGUUGUUGCAGUUAAAAAGCUCGUAGUUGGAUUUCGGAUGGGAUUUGCCGGUCCGUCGUUACGAUGUGCACUGGCCAGUCCUAUCUUGUUGUCGGGGACUAGCUCCUUGGAUUCACUUCCUGGGACUAGGAGCUGACGAGGUUACUUUGAGUAAAUAAGAGUGUUCAAAGCAAGCCUACGCUCUGAAUACAUUAGCAUGGAAUAACACGAUAGGACUCUGGCUUAUCUUGUUGGUCUGUGAGACCAGAGUAAUGAUUAAGAGGGACAGUCGGGGACAUUCGUAUUUCAUUGUCAGAGGUGAAAUUCUUGGAUUUAUGAAAGACGAACUUCUGCGAAAGCAUUUGUCAAGGAUGUUUUCAUUAA
rnacentral:rRNA from 1 species